rnacentral:tRNA from 7 species
GGAGAGCUGACCGAGUAGGCCGAAGGUGCUCGCCUGCUAAGCGAGUGUAGGAUCAAAAGUUCUACCGAGGGUUCGAAUCCCUCGCUCUCCGCCA